AUACUUACCUGGACGGGGUCAAUGGUCGAUCAUGAAGGACCAUGGCCUAGGCUAGUGACCUCCAUUGCACUUGGGAGGGGUGCUCGCCUAAGAUCUCCCCAAUGUGGGAGAGUCUACGUCGUUAUUUGUGAUAGUGGGGGCCUGCGUUCGCGCGGCCCCUGC